rnacentral:rRNA from 1 species
ACUCCUACGGGAGGCAGCAGUGGGGAAUUUUGGACAAUGGGCGAAAGCCUGAUCCAGCAAUGCCGCGUGCAGGAUGAAGGCCUUCGGGUUGUAAACUGCUUUUGUACGGAACGAAAAAGCUCCUUCUAAUACAGGGGGCCCAUGACGGUACCGUAAGAAUAAGCACCGGCUAACUACGUGCCAGCAGCCGCGGUAAUACGUAGGGUGCGAGCGUUAAUCGGAAUUACUGGGCGUAAAGCGUGCGCAGGCGGUUAUGUAAGACAGAUGUGAAAUCCCCGGGCUCAACCUGGGAACUGCAUUUGUGACUGCAUGGCUAGAGUACGGUAGAGGGGGAUGGAAUUCCGCGUGUAGCAGUGAAAUGCGUAGAUAUGCGGAGGAACACCGAUGGCGAAGGCAAUCCCCUGGACCUGUACUGACGCUCAUGCACGAAAGCGUGGGGAGCAAACAGGAUUAGAUACCCCUGUAGUCCCA